GUGUUGUAAUUUGAUUUUUUGCUGUUGUUGUUUUUGCAGAUUCCAAUUGCGAACCGAUGUCAGAUUGCGGUGAAAGUUUUCAGCUAAUCUGUGAUGGUCGAGAUUUCUCAAACAUGGAAACUCGUUCGAUUCGAUUCUUUGUACGCGGAAAGAAAAGAUCAAGGGUACGACGAACUAGGAAGUUAAAGCCGGACCCAGAAGACAAGUUGUCGUUGAGCGGAAUAAAAGAUUAACCUCGAUUCGGUCGUUCGUGAAUGAUUCUUCAACUCUACGCGAUGCAUUCAACUAUUACGUGGACGUAUUCCUUUGAAAAAUGUUUUUUUCUUUUCAUCGAAUUGCUCGUGUGAAAAUUUGCUAUACGAUUGUCGCAGGUGAGCCGAGUUUGGAGAAUGACAUCAUCGAUUUUCUGUUUGGGAAUGAAGACUUAUUUCGGAUCGCAGCUGAAUAUCUUGCAGUGUUAUUUGAAGAUUGAAAAGAUGCGACGUUACCAGUCAAAUGAACAAAUGUUGCACAGUAAUAAUGGCAGACUUUCAAACUGUAAGUACUCGCGGUAUUUGUGUUCAAAAUAUUGGAAAAUCGUGAACAAAUUCACAAAACCGAGUGAAAAAUUGGGAGAGUAAGUACGCUGUGAUUGAACAUUUUUUGCAGAAUUGGAAAAUCAAACAGUUCGACUGAGCAGCUGAAAAAGUUGUACAUGGAAACGCGUACUUAUGCAUUGGUUGAAGUGAAAUAAAUAUUGCGAAAGCAACGACCUCUAUUUUCUCAUCAAGAUAAGCUGGAUAAGAAUUCAACUUGCCUACUGAAGCCUCUAGUCUCAGAUAAAAUUCCAAUGCUGCAACCGGUGUAAUACGUAUGUUAUUCGAACAAAAGCUGCUGUGAUCUUGAGCUAUAAUCUUCCUCUUGAACGUAGGUAAUUUUUUUUAUGUAUUUCCCAAAACCGGUGUAGUUUCUACUUAGAGACAGUAUAGCCAAAUUCUAAUUUGAUGAAAAAAUAUUUACCAUUGAGGCAAGAUCUGUGGAACCAUUCGAAGAUAUGAUUUAUUAAGUGACAUUUGACGCAUCCAGCAACUUACGUAGAUACCAAUUUUAAACAAAAGAAUAUUGCGACCGCGCAGCUGGAGUCAUGUUCCUCAAACCCAAGCUGUCAAAUACCAACAAAAAGAUAUUUCUUAAAGAGGCUAAUUUUUUCUAGUUUGACUGAAACUUCAGUGUGCAUGCUCUUUUCAUCAAUUUGAAUGUCGUCUACUGAAGAUUAUCGCUCGAAAGCACACGCAAUUCACGUAAAUUUAACAACAACAGGUUCCUGGAAACUCGUUGCAUUGAAAGUUGAAACUCGACGACCAGUGAUAAAAAGAUAUUCCAAGUGUUGUUUUGAAUCCUCCAGUCAGUCGCUAGUUUGCCCAAAUACAAAAUGGCGACGAAAAAAUGCGCCUAUUUUAGUUGACUUGGGUUCAAAAAUUGCCGGUAUUCACCUAAUAUUCCAAAGUACCUACCUAGUACCUACC